rnacentral:rRNA from 1 species
GAUGAACGCUGGCGGCGUGCUUAACACAUGCAAGUCGAACGGACGAUGAAAAGCUUGCUUUUCAAAGUUAGUGGCGGACGGGUGAGUAACGCGUGGGUAACCUGCCUCAUACAGGGGGAUAGCAGCUGGAAACGGCUGAUAAAACCGCAUAAGCGCACAGCAUCGCAUGAUGCAGUGUGAAAAACUCCGGUGGUAUGAGAUGGACCCGCGUCUGAUUAGCUGGUUGGUGAGGUAACGGCCCACCAAGGCGACGAUCAGUAGCCGGCCUGAGAGGGUGACCGGCCACAUUGGGACUGAGACACGGCCCAAACUCCUACGGGAGGCAGCAGUGGGGAAUAUUGCACAAUGGGGGAAACCCUGAUGCAGCGACGCCGCGUGAAGGAAGAAGUAUCUCGGUAUGUAAACUUCUAUCAGCAGGGAAGAUAAUGACGGUACCUGACUAAGAAGCCC